UCCAGACUCCUACGGGAGGCAGCAGUGGGGGAUAUUGCACAAUGGGCGCAACCCUGAUGCAGCGACGCCGCGUGGGCGAAGAAGUAUUUCGGUAUGUAAAGCCCUAUCAGCAGGGAAGAAGAAAUGACGGUACCUGAGUAAGAAGCACCGGCUAAAUACGUGCCAGCAGCCGCGGUAAUACGUAUGGUGCAAGCGUUAUCCGGAUUUACUGGGUGUAAAGGGAGCGCAGGCGGCACGGCAAGCCUGAUGUGAAAGCCCGCGGCCCAACCGCGGGACUGCAUUGGGAACUACCGGGCUGGAGUGCCGGAGAGGUAGGCGGAAUUCCUAGUGUAGCGGUGAAAUGCGUAGAUAUUAGGAGGAACACCAGUGGCGAAGGCGGCCUACUGGACGGUGACUGACGCUGAGGCUCGAAAGCGUGGGGAGCAAACAGGAUUAGAUACCCGAGUAAC
rnacentral:rRNA from 1 species